ACGGGCGGGCCCGCGGCUGCUGGGGUGGGGCCGGGCGAGGUAAACAGCCCGAGCAGCUGCCGAGCGGCCGCGGGUAUCCGUCCCUCGGGCCGGCGACGCCCCGCGUCUGGGCAGCUCCAGACGGCGUUCCCGGCGCCGGAAGCCCCAGGCUUCGGAGUGAGGCUGCGGCCACUUGAAAGCCCAAACUACCGAGCGGAGACGAACCGCAGAGACCACCCACAACUUCCUGGGGCCGAGGGGCACCGGGCCAGAGCGAGGAAGGAACUUGCCGAAAGGCACGUAGCGUUUGUAGCUCAGUCCGAGCGGCUGCUCAGGGCCCCGGCGAUCGGGGGCUGGGCGCUCCCGGACUUGUGAGCAGAGCUCAUAGAAAUUCCGAGCUGGAGGGACCCUGCAGGACUCUCACUGUUGCUGCUAACAUGCACUGCUCCAGACACUGCUCGGGAUGCCUUCAGUUACUUCAAAGGUGUUAUCAAAUUCUCAAACAGCCCUGGCUGGUUGGUUCAGGGUGCGUGCCAGAGGCACCAAUGAUACAUUGAUGUUUUUCUCUCUGCCUCCCUCCCUUCCAUUCUCUUUUUUAAAAAAA